rnacentral:lncRNA from 1 species
ACCAAUAUAAAUGAAAAAUUAAAAUUUCAACAUCAAUCCAACACAAAUUCUCUAAUUUAAGUAUAACAUACACAAAUCCAUUAAAAAAAACCACAAACUAGUAUCUAAAAAUAACAAUUACAUUUCAUAUUAUCAUUCAACACAAACUCCAAGAGAAGACCUUCAUUUCGUUCACCAUCAUAAGCACCCAUCCAAUAUGAUGCCUAUAAUAAUGAUUAAGAUUAAUAUUUUCCAAACAAUAAUACUUUUCAAAUAUUAAUCCAAAAAAAUUAUAAUAAUGAAAUAAUUCAUGCAUUAAGUUAAAGAAAAAUAGUCCAUACAAAAACACUUUGGUUAUUUGACACUUUGUAUAAUUGCAUUAUUUUCUUUGUAUAUUUUUUAGAUUUAAGUAUUUUUUAAUUAAAAUUAAAUUAAAAAUAUUUAAAAAAAAUUCCGGGUUUAGCGGAUAUCCAUGCAGGUAUCCGCUGGAUAUUGGACUAAUACCAAACCCACUUGCAUCCAAGUGCGGGUUUCAAUUUGUAAUAUCAAACUCGCCCGCAACUCACAAAAUUAUCCACAACGGGUGGGUUUUGGCGGGCAGGUUUGGGCGGAUUUACGGAUUUACGGGCACAAUUGCCAUCCCUCGCUAAAACCAUGUUAACAAUAUAUUUACAACACCUUGGGGAAUAGAAAUAUCUUUCAUUACUUGUUCAGAUGUACCCACUCUUUAUUCAUCAUCUUAAUACCACUGGAUAACAUCUUUCCUGGUACACAUACUAGUUGUUUUAUGUACCAUCCUCAUGAAGUGAUUUUCAAAAGCAACAUCAUAACUCCAUAUAUAAGUAAAUAGAAUGGCAAAAGGGAUAUUGAAAAUAGCAAUGUAUGACUAAGAUUACAAGCAUAAUAUGCAAAAUAAAAAAAAUACUAAAACUAAAUUAAAAGGAAAAAAAACUCAAUGAUAUAUUCUGGGCAACUACUAUAACUAAAAAAUCACUCAGUAAAAAAAUUAGAAUUUUAAAAAGAUAGCAAACGAAAAGAAAAUAAUAAUAAUUUGACAAGAAAAUGCCAAAACACAUACCUUUGUUUUUGGCGAGGUUACAAAACUAGUUCAAUAUGCGAUUAGCCAAACGUUACAAGACUUGGAGCUGGGUCUUCUUCAAUUUGGUGGCAUUAUUUUAUCAUAUCAAAUCCUAGGAAAAAGAAAUAGUCAGAUUCAAUUAAUUUUGUACAAAACCCAGAUUCACAAUUUCAACAAUUUCAAGAGAGAAAUUGGAAAAACAAAUUAUAACAAAGCUUUAAAAAUCCAAAAGGAAAACUUGUGAAUUACCUUCAUGAACCAUUUUCGGGAACAAAAUCCAUCAAUUGCUUCUACCAAGCUCAAUUCGUUUGGAGAUUGAGUUGCUCAACAAAUUAAUGGAUCAUUAGGUGAUAUGAUUUCUAAGGAAAUUUUGAGGGAUUAGGAUUUUAGGCCUUUAGUCACUUUGGUGUGUGGAGAGUGACGACUUGAGGAGAGAAGAAAACAAAAGCUUUGACUUUUGGGUGGGUGUUAACGUGGAAGUUGAGAGGGAGGCAAAAGGAUGUUAC